AGAGUUUGAUCCUGGCUCAGAAUGAACGCUGGCGGCGCGCCUAAUACAUGCAAGUCGAGCGAGAAGACGUAGCAAUACGUUUGUAAAGCGGCGAACGGGUGAGGAAUACAUGGGUAACCUACCCUCGAGUGGGGAAUAACUAGCCGAAAGGUUAGCUAAUACCGCGUACGCUCCUUGGACUUCGGUUCAGGGAGGAAAGCGCUACCGUGGGUAGCGCGCUCUUGGAUGGGCUCAUGUCCUAUCAGCUUGUUGGUGAGGUAACGGCUCACCAAGGCUUCGACGGGUAGCUGGUCUGAGAGGACGACCAGCCACACUGGCACUGCGACACGGGCCAGACUCCUACGGGAGGCAGCAGUAAGGAAUAUUGCGCAAUGGGCGAAAGCCUGACGCAGCGACGCCGCGUGGGGGAUGAAGGUCUUCGGAUUGUAAACCCCUUUCGGGAGGGAAGAUGGAAUGGGGUAACCCAUUUGGACGGUACCUCCAGAAGCAG
rnacentral:rRNA from 1 species